rnacentral:rRNA from 1 species
UUAAAUUGAAGAGUUUGAUCAUGGCUCAGAUUGAACGCUGGCGGCAGGCCUAACACAUGCAAGUCGAACGGUAACAGGAAUCAGCUUGCUGAUUUGCUGACGAGUGGCGGACGGGUG